UGGGGAAUUUUGGACAAUGGGGGCAACCCUGAUCCAGCAACGCCGCGUGAAGGAUGAAGGCCUUCGGGUCGUAAACUUCUUUUAUAGGGGACGAAUCCGUUCGUGAAUAACGAACAAUGACGGUACCCUGUGAAUAAGCCACGGCUAACUACGUGCCAGCAGCCGCGGUAAUACGUAGGUGGCAAGCGUUACUCGGAAUUACUAGGCGUAAAGCGCAGGUAGGUGGUUGGAUAAGUCCGCAAUGAAAUCUCCCGGCUUAACUGGGAGGGGUUUGUGGAUACUGUCUGACUCGAGUGUGGGAGAGGUAACUGGAAUUCCUGGUGUAGCGGUGAAAUGCGUAGAUAUCAGGAGGAACACCUAUGGCGAAAGCAGGUUACUGGCCCAAUACUGACGCUGAGCUGCGAAAGCUAGGGGAGCAAACAGGAUUAGAUACCCUUGUAGUCCCUGAGCGGGCUGGCAAGGCGCAU
rnacentral:rRNA from 1 species